CAUGUACUCCCUCCGUCCGGAAUUACUUGUCGCAGAAAAGGAUGAAAAUGAAUGUAUCUACAACUAAAAUACGUCUAGAUGACAUCCAUUUCUAUGACAAGUAAUUCCGGACGGAGGGAGUAUAUU
rfam:Triticum urartu cultivar G1812 contig720386, whole genome shotgun sequence.